rnacentral:rRNA from 1 species
AUUGAACGCUGGCGGCAUGCUUUACACAUGCAAGUCGAACGGCAGCGCGGGCUUCGGCCUGGCGGCGAGUGGCGAACGGGUUAGUAAUACAUCGGAACGUGCCCAGUAGUGGGGGAUAGCUCGGCGAAAGCCGGAUUAAUACCGCAUACGACCUGAGGGUGAAAGCGGGGGAUCUUCGGACCUCGCGCUAUUGGAGCGGCCGAUGGCAGAUUAGCUAGUUGGUGGGGUAAAGGCCUACCAAGGCGACGAUCUGUAGCUGGUCUGAGAGGACGACCAGCCACACUGGGACUGAGACACGGCCCAGACUCCUACGGGAGGCAGCAGUGGGGAAUUUUGGACAAAGGGCGAAAGCCUGAUCCAGCAAUGCCGCGUGUGUGAUGAAGGCCUUCGGGUUGUAAAGCACUUUUGGCGGGAACGAAAAGGACUGUGCCAAUACCACGGUUCGAUGACGGUACCCGCAGAAUAAGCACCGGCUAACUACGUG